rnacentral:rRNA from 1 species
CCUACGGGGGGCAGCAGUGGGGAAUAUUGGACAAUGGGCGAAAGCCUGAUCCAGCCAUGCCGCGUGUGUGAAGAAGGCCUUCGGGUUGUAAAGCACUUUCAGUGGGGAAGAAAGCCUUGGGGCUAAUACCCUCGAGGAAGGACAUCACCCACAGAAGAAGCACCGGCUAACUCCGUGCCAGCAGCCGCGGUAAUAUGGAGGGUGCGAGCGUUAAUCGGAAUUACUGGGCGUAAAGCGCGCGUAGGCGGUCUGAUAAGCCGGUUGUGAAAGCCCCGGGCUCAACCUGGGAACGGCAUCCGGAACUGUCAGGCUAGAGUGCAGGAGAGGAAGGUAGAAUUCCCGGUGUAGCGGUGAAAUGCGUAGAGAUCGGGAGGAAUACCAGUGGCGAAGGCGACCUUCUGGACUGACACUGACGCUGAGGUGCGAAAGCGUGGGUAGCAAACAGGAUUAGAUACCCGAGUAGUC